rnacentral:rRNA from 1 species
GGGCCCGCACAAGCGGUGGAGCAUGUGGUUUAAUUCGAUGAUACGCGAGGAACCUUACCAGGGCUUAAAUGCAGAGCGACAGAGGUGGAAACACCUCCUUCUUCGGACGGUCUGCAAGGUGCUGCAUGGUUGUCGUCAGCUCGUGCUGUGAAGUGUCGGGUUAAGUCCCAUAACGAGCGCAACCCCUAUUUCUAGUUGCCAGCGGUUCGGCCGGGGACUCUAGAGAAACUGCCAGCGUAAGCUGUGAGGAAGGUGGGGAUGACGUCAAAUCAUCACGGCCCUUACGUCCUGGGCUACACACGUGCUACAAUGGUAGGGACAGAGAGUUGCCAACCCGCGAGGGUGAGCUAAUCUUCAAACCCUAUCUCAGUUCGGAUUGUCGUCUGCAACUCGACGGCAUGAAGUCGGAAUCGCUAGUAA